GACGAACGCUGGCGGCGUGCUUAACACAUGCAAGUCGAACGGAAAGGCCCUGCUUGCAGGGUACUCGAGUGGCGAACGGGUGAGUAACACGUGGGUGAUCUGCCCUGCACUUCGGGAUAAGCCUGGGAAACUGGGUCUAAUACCGGAUAGGACCAUCGUUUAGUGUCGGUGGUGGAAAGUUUUUCGGUGCAGGAUGAGCUCGCGGCCUAUCAGCUUGUUGGUGGGGUAAUGGCCUACCAAGGCGUUGACGGGUAGCCGGCCUGAGAGGGUGGACGGCCACAUUGGGACUGAGACACGGCCCAGACUCCUACGGGAGGCAGCAGUGGGGAAUAUUGCACAAUGGGCGCAAGCCUGAUGCAGCGACGCCGCGUGGGGGAUGACGGCCUUCGGGUUGUAAACUCCUUUCAACCAUGACGAAGCUUUUGUGACGGUAGUGGUAGAAGAAGCACCGGCUAACUACGUGCCAGCCGCCGCCGUAA
rnacentral:rRNA from 1 species